AGGGCUUUAGCCCAACACAUAAGAUCCAAGAGAGUAGGGAAGAUAUUUCAGAAACAAGUUCAAAUCACUCAGUCCAAACGCGUUAUUUCCCUCCAAGCUAUGGCAAAAAAUUCCACCGCACCGGAAAUCGCCUCCGGCAGUGGUGGAGGUCCAAACACCACCAAAUCAAUGUCAAAAUGCUCGUCCAUCCCUGAUCUUUCACAAUCUACCAUCAAUUCCCUCAUAUCCCUACCAUGAUUCUCAAAUUGAACAAAAAUAUUCAAGAACCCUAAAAAUCAAAAUCAAAAUUAAAUGCUCUAGAGGAGGAAUCAAAGCCUAAAACGUUAGGGCUUUGAUCCAUAGAGCCUUGUCCUACAAUGAAGGUAAUGGUAUCAAAGAGGAUGGAUGAAGACAUCAAAGAACUCAUCGACGAGGAGGAGAAUGGGCCCGGGGUCGUAGGAGUUGAAGAAGAACGAAACAGAAGAACGAAAGAAGCUCAAUGCUCCAAGUACUCUUGAUUUCAACUCAUAUUUGCUCAAAUUCUUCUUUCCUUUUCUUUUCUUCUUUAGUCCGUAGAUGUUGAAAUAGUGGUUUUUUGGUUGUUGCGCUUGAGAGAGUGAAGAAAUAGAGAGGGUUAUGCAGAGAGGUUGAAGAUGCUCACAAAGUGAAAAUGGAGAGGAUUGAGAUUUUGUUUGUGAGUGCAGAGUGAAUGAAUGAUUGUUGCUGAUGAAUCAGAGUGGAGAGUCGAAUAUAUAGAGUUUGAAUUGAGUAACUGAAUUGGGAAGUCAUUAAGGGAUGGCGUACCUACGAUGGAGUUGACAUUGGCCUGGCAUGGAGGUGGCAAGGUUUGGUUAUGGUUUAUGAGGGUUUGAUCAAGGCAUAAAGACUUGAAUGCUUUUGAGUAUCUUAUGCAUGAAGACAAUAGAAUUAGGGUUUUGGGAUUAAAAAGUUUACUUUGGUCUAUUGUUGACCCAAAAGUCAAUAGUUGACCAAAGUCAACCCUAUGUCAAAAUGUGUACUUUGUAUCAUGUUUGAAAUUUUGGAUUUUUGUCAUGUACUUUGGUGUUUUGAACAUGAAUUACCCUUGUAUGGUUGUAACUUAUUUUCUAAGCAAUACAAAAUGUCUUUCCCUCCAA